UAUAUGGGGGUGUAUGGGGCUGUCUAUGGGGCUGUUUGCGACACGUUCCCCUCCUCGCCCUCAAUUCCCGGCACCGCAACCUGCGGCGCUGACGCCAUUUCCUCCCAUUCUACGAAACGAGCAGGAAACCGACCCGCGGCUCGGGGCUUUUUUGGGCUGAAAACUGCUCGAUUUGGGACCGAACGGCUGCGAGAAAGCAGCGGCUGCAGUCGGGAUAUGGGGACAGUUCUGACCCCCCAGACCCCAAACUCACCCCUCCAGGAGGCGCUGGGAGGAGCAGCGCGGUGCUGUGCGGUGUGUUAUGAAGGGAACGCUCAGCUUUGACUCAGAGUGAAAACCAUCCCCGUCCCGCUGUGAUGCUCGGCCAAAACUCCUGCCCUGAAGCUCUCAGCCCGCAACGUGCCUCAGUUUUCCCUCGUGUGAUGCCACCACCCCCCACCCCUUCAAAGCACCCACGGCACAAAACAAGGCGAUGGGGGCAUUGGAAACAGCAGAAUUGAUGCAGGACAUCAGUGAGGAGCUGCAGCUCUUGGCUCAAUGCAACCACCACCAGCAUCACCUGGUGGGUGUUGGGGUCUGGGGGGGCUUUGGUGCUGCAGGAAGGAGUGCAGGUGUAACAAAGUGAAUACGAAGCAUUUAAUUUAAUUUAAUUAAUUUAAUUAAAUGUAAUUGAACAGAAAGUAACAUAGUUUAACAUAACAGAAUUAAACGUAAAAUAACAUAGUUUAAAACAAAAUUUAACGUAAUAUAAACCAAAAUAAAAUAUCAUAAAAUAACAUAA